AGAGUCCAGGAUGUGGACUUGAAACUCUGAGAUUGAUGGACUGUGGUUUGUCAGAGAUCAGCUGUGAUUAUCUGGCAGCAGCACUGAAGUCCAACCCCUCCCAUCUGAGAGAGCUGGACCUGAGCGGCAACUACAAACUGCAGGAUCCAGAUGUGAAGCAGCUGUCUGAUCUUAAGCAGAGUCCAGACUACAGACUGGAGACUCUGGUGUGGAGGUGAUGAUGGUAAACAGGACGGUGUGUGUGCUGAGAGAGGAGGAGCUGU